UACGGAGGGGGCUAGCGUUGUUCGGAAUUACUGGGCGUAAAGCGCACGUAGGCGGCUUUGCAAGUUAGAGGUGAAAGCCCGGGGCUCAACUCCGGAAUUGCCUUUAAAACUGCAUCGCUAGAAUUGUGGAGAGGUAAGUGGAAUUCCGAGUGUAGAGGUGAAAUUCGUAGAUAUUGGGAAGAACACCGGUGGCGAAGGCGGCUCACUGGCUCGUAACUGACGCUCAGGCACGACAGCGUGGGGAUCAAACAGG
rnacentral:rRNA from 1 species